AAUUAAUUUUCUACGCUUACUACAUAUCUUUUCUAAUCCUAAGAAUGGAAAAGGACUUAAAGUGCGGCUUUUGUGGUCUCAGUCCAACAUGGCUACAACGAUUUGCAACAACGCGCGCCUUCGUUGUUAUCUACGGACUUCUUGGUACUGUGCAGGCAAUGUCAUUCAUUUACAUUGGCGUUAGCCUGACAACCCUUGAAAAAAGAUUUAAAAUUCCAAGUCGAACUACUGGUGUUUUACUGUCAGGCAAUGAAAUAUCGCAAAUACUGUCGGUCAUUUUGAUGUACUAUGGUGGUUCAGGUCACAGGCCACGAUGGAUAGCAAUUGGUGUAGCUAUUAGUGCUCUAUCUUGUCUAGUCCUUGCUUUACCUCAUUUCAUUUAUGGUCCAGGUCAAGAAGCUAUGGCCUUGACUCAUGAAUACCUUAAUACAACUAUUUUGUCGACUGGAGUCUUCAAAAGAAACGAAAUAUUAAUGUGCUCCACGCUUGAUCAUAUCGAAAACUGUGAUGAUAAUAUAUCAUCAUACACAAGUAUUAUUCCCAGGCUAUUAAUAUUUUUAUCACAGUUUAUACUAGGUAUUGGUACCACAUUGUACUAUGGAUUAGGUCAGAUUUACAUGGAUGACAACACAAAGAAAAAGAACACGCCGCUGCUAUUAGGUAUAACUUUCAGUCUUCGUAUGGUCGGUCCACUGUUAGGAUUCAUUCUGAGUUAUUACUGCCUAAGAGUUUAUAUCGACCCGAAGCUACAUCCCAUCAUAGAUGACAAGGAUCCACGGUGGUUAGGGGCAUGGUGGCUAGGUUGGAUCAUACUUGGAAUAAUGAUGGGAAUUUCAGCAAUAUUCCUUGCCAUGUUUCCUAGGAAACUGAGAAAAUCAAAAUCAAAUAAAAAGAAAGUAUCCACAAGUGAAAUUGAAAUACCGUUGAAAUGUGAGCAAUUGGAUAAAAAACCACAAAUUUCACAUAUGGAAAAACCAUCUCUGAAGGAUUUUGCAGUAUCGCUUAAACGGAUAUGUAAAAAUAAGUUAUUUAUGUACAACACCUUUAGUGCUGUUUUUUAUAUACUUGGUUCCGCUCCGUUCAUUUAUUUUAUUGGUAAAUACAUGGAGGUACAAUAUGGCACUUCUUCAGGUGGCGGCACAAUAAUAGCUGGUCCACUUAAGAUUUUGGGAGUAGUUUUUGGUUUCUUAUUUUCUGGAAUUGUGAUCGGAAGAUACAAACCGUCACCUAGACUUCUGAUGGCCUGGAAUGUAUUUAAUGGAAUACUUUACGUUUUAGUAAAAAUUGUGUUUUUAUACGUAACAUGUGACACCGAUAACAUACAAGGAGUGAAUCUAGAAACUAUGACAGUAAAUUUAACAACCUCGUGCAAUGCAGUCUGUCACUGUGAACAAGUGAAAUUCUCACCAGUUUGUCAUGAUCCUACGGGAAUGACAUACUUCUCAGCCUGUCAUGCUGGUUGUCAAAAGAUUAUCAACGACACGGCAUUCGGUGAUUGUAACUGCGUGAUUAAUUUAGACUAUCUUAUCAAAGACGCGUUUCUCGAAAAUACAUCACUGCAAAUAGAAGAUCAAUUUUCCAAAAUACUUCAAACUGAAAAAAACGUUGUAACUGUGGGACCCUGUAAAAAAAAUUGUUUCAAGUCUUAUAUCACAUUUUCCCUUUUAUCAGCCUUUACUUUUAUUCUCGGAUGUUCUGGGAGAAUAGGAAAUGUACUAGUCAGUUAUAGAUGUGUGGACACCAAAGAUAAGAGUUUAGCCCAAGGUGUUUCAAUGAUGAUACUGUCAUUAGUAGCUAUGAUACCGGCACCUAUAGUUGCAGGAGCUUUAAUGGAUUCCACGUGUUUAAUAUGGGAUGUUUCGUGUAAAAGUAAAGGAAAUUGCUGGGUCUACCAUAAAAACAAAUUCAAUUAUGUUGUCAAUAUAAGUGGAGCAGCCUUUAUUUUUGUGGGAGUAAUCGUUGACGCAUUAUUGUGCUAUUACUCCAAAGGUUUAGACCUAUAUGGAGAAGCAGAAGAGGCCGAGAAAAGAAGAAUUUCUCAAUUGAAAAAUAAUGAUAUAAUAGACAAUGAAGUUUCAAGUCUGAAAUCAUAGCUCGUUGAAAAUUGCUGAUGUACUUUAUUUCAAUCAAGUAUUCGAAGUGAAUAUUAAAUUAUCAUCGACAAAGUAUUGUUACUCAGAAAGCUGCCGUGAUAUUGAAAAGUACCGGUGUAAAUGUGUGUGUUGCGAAAGUGUUAUGCUUUUAAUCACGAAUCAAUCGAAAGGACAUUGAUUGUCUUCUUAAUUUUCUGGAAGUUAUAGAACGUUUAAGUAAACUAAUAAUAAUCAAAAUUUUGGUACCCACGUACACAUUACGUUACUUACCAUCUUCAUGUUCUUUUUAUUGAUUACAGAUUAAUUUUGAAAAAAAUGUAUUACGAAUGUUUGUAAUCUUGAGCGACUGAUAUAUCGACUUCUAGAACAACUUCAUCUUCUUACCACGAGAUAGCAGCAAUGUGAGUUGCAUACGUCAGGUUUGCGCGGCAACGCUUCAAACAGAACAACCGAGGCAGGCGCGCUUAAUUCAUUUGAGCGAACGAGAUAGAAAGAGAGAGCGAGCGAGAGCGAGAGAGAGAGAGAGAGAUCGAGAGAGAGAGAUGACGACGACACACCGGCCGUCGCCAGCGAUUUCGUGUGAUUAUUCAUCUAAACGGUCGUGCCACCGCGCAGAUAGAGUUGAGCGCGCGACGGUGUAACUGCGUCUGCUCCUCUCUUCUCCAUCUCACUUAUCAUUCUUUAUUUUUCAUCGAACAUUUGUGAUUCCUUGUUUGAUAAAAAAAAUUACCUGUCAUUGUUGAAAAUUUCUUGUCGAGGUGGACGUACGUCCUUGACCAUUACGAUCGGGUGACUUCUUUAACUGACUUUAAUGGCACCGCGAUUGUAAAGGGGAGUCACCGGUGUGUGGACAAGUUAUUUGCUGCUGUAAUCGUUUUGUGUGGUAUACUGAUGCCUCGCUGAGAGGAACUAUUUCACCGCGUGAACUUUACAUUCUUGUGUAUCAUACUAUCAGGCAAUGAAAUAUCACAAAUCCUUUCAAUCCUCCUCAUCUACUACGGCGGUUCAGGUCACAGGCCACGAUGGAUAGCGAUUGGUGUUGCGUGUAGUGCUUUAUCGUGUCUAAUUCUCG